rnacentral:rRNA from 1 species
AUUGAACGCUGGCGGAAUGCUUUACACAUGCAAGUCGAACGAUGAACCUUAGCUUGCUAAGGGGAUUAGUGGCGAACGGGUGAGUCAUAUAUCGGAACGUGCCUUGUAAUGGGGGUAACCUCGUGGAACGAUUACCUAUUACGGAAAAGGCCUCGAGGGGGAAGGUGGGGGAUCUUCGGCCUUUAGGUUAUAGGGGCGGCCGUCACCUGAUUAGCUAGUUGGUGGGGUAAUGGCCUACAAAGGCGACGAUCAGUAGCUGGUCUGAGAGAAGGACCAGCGACACUGGAACUGAGACGCGGUCCAGACUCCUACGAGAGGCAGCAGUGGGGAAUUUUGGACAAUGGGCGCAAGCCUGAUCCAGCCAUUCCGCGUGAGUGAAGAAGGCCUUCGGGUUGUAAAGCUCUUUCGCAAGGGAAGAAAACUUACCAUCGAAUAAAUGGUGAGGCUGACGGUACCUUGAUAAGAAGCACCGGCUAACUACGUG